rnacentral:rRNA from 1 species
GGGGGACGGGUGAGUAACACGUGGGUAACCUGCCUCAAAGUGGGGGAAUAGCUUUCCGAAAGGGAGAUUAAUACCGCAUAAUAUACACAUUUAGCAUUAUAAGUGUAUCAAAGGAGAAAUCCGCUUUGAGAUGGGCCUGCGGCGCAUUAGCUAGUUGGUGGGGUAACGGCUCACCAAGGCCACGAUGCGUAGCCGACCUGAGAGGGUGAUCGGCCACACUGGGACUGAGACACGGCCCAGACUCCUACGGGAGGCAGCAGUAGGGAAUCUUCCACAAUGGGUGAAAACCUGAUGGAGCAAUGCCGCGUGAAUGAAGAAGGUCUUCGGAUCGUAAAGUUCUGUUAUUAGAGAAGAACAAGUCAAGGAGUAACUGUCUUGACUUUGACGGUACCUAACCAGAAAGUCACGGCUAACUACGUGCCAGCAGCCGCGGUAAUACGUAGGUGACAAGCGUUGUCCGGAAUUAUUGGGCGUAAAGGGAGCGCAGGCGGUUGGAAUAGUCUGAUGUGAAAGCCCACGGCUUAACCGUGGAAGGUCAUUGGAAACUGUCCAACUUGAAUACAGAAGAGGUAAGUGGAAUUCCAAGUGUAGCGGUGAAAUGCGUAGAUAUUUGGAGGAACACCAGUGGCGAAGGCGACUUACUGGUCUGUAAUUGACGCUGAGGCUCGAAAGCGUGGGUAGCAAACAGGAUUAGAUACCCUGGUAGUCCACGCCGUAAACGAUGAGUGCUAAGUGUUAGGGGGUUUCCGCCCCCUUAGUGCUGGAGUUAACGCAUUAAGCACUCCG